rnacentral:rRNA from 1 species
UGUGUGUUAGUGGAAGCGUCUGGAAAGGCGCGCGAUACAGGGUGACAGCCCCGUACACAAAAAUGCACAUGCUGUGAGCUCGAUGAGUAGGGCGGGACACGUGGUAUCCUGUCUGAAUAUGGGGGGACCAUCCUCCAAGGCUAAAUACUCCUGACUGACCGAUAGUGAACCAGUACCGUGAGGGAAAGGCGAAAAGAACCCCGGCGAGGGGAGUGAAAAAGAACCUGAAACCGUGUACGUACAAGCAGUGGGAGCACGCUUAGGCGUGUGACUGCGUACCUUUUGUAUAAUGGGUCAGCGACUUAUAUUCUGUAGCAAGGUUAACCGAAUAGGGGAGCCGAAGGGAAACCGAGUCUUAACUGGGCGUUAAGUUGCAGGGUAUAGACCCGAAACCCGGUGAUCUAGCCAUGGGCAGGUUGAAGGUUGGGUAACACUAACUGGAGGACCGAACCGACUAAUGUUGAAAAAUUAGCGGAUGACUUGUGGCUGGGGGUGAAAGGCCAAUCAAACCGGGAGAUAGCUGGUUCUCCCCGAAAGCUAUUUAGGUAGCGCCUCGUGAAUUCAUCUCCGGGGGUAGAGCACUGUUUCGGCAAGGGGGUCAUCCCGACUUACCAACCCGAUGCAAACUGCGAAUACCGGAGAAUGUUAUCACGGGAGACACACGGCGGGUGCUAACGUCCGUCGUGAAGAGGGAAACAACCCAGACCGCCAGCUAAGGUCCCAAAGUCAUGGUUAAGUGGGAAACGAUGUGGGAAGGCCCAGACAGCCAGGAUGUUGGCUUAGAAGCAGCCAUCAUUUAAAGAAAGCGUAAUAGCUCACUGGUCGAGUCGGCCUGCGC